rnacentral:rRNA from 1 species
AUUAUUAAAGGGCCGCGGUAUUCCUGACCGUGCGAAGGUAGCAUAAUCAUUAGUCUUUUAAUUGAAGGCUUGUAUGAAAGGUUGGACGAAAAAUGGACUGUUUCAAAUAAAAAGAUUGAAUUUAACUUUUAAGUGAAAAGGCUUAAAUAAAUUAAAAAGACGAUAAGACCCUAUAAAUCUUUACAUUUGUUAUUAUAGGUUUUGGAUUGUGUGUGUAAAAAAAAAUAUAAUAAAAAUGUUGUGUUGGGGCAACAGUGAUAUAGUAAUAUUAAUUGUUAAAAAUAAAAACAAAUAUAUUUGUUAAAUAAAGAUCCUUUUUAAAGAUUUAAAGAUUAAGUUACUUUAGGGAUAACAGCGUUAUUUUUUCUGAGAGUUCUUAUCGAAGAAAAAGAUUGCGACCUCGAUGUUGAAUUAAAAAUUCUUUUUAAUGCAGCAGUUAAAAAAGAAAGUCUGUUCGACUUUUAAAUUUUUACAUGAUUUGAGUUCAGACCGGCGUGAGCCAGGUUGGUUUCUAUCU